rnacentral:misc_RNA from 1 species
UCUCGGCUUAUCACCGGCAGUCCCCCUAGAGUGCCCAACUGAAUGAUGGCAACUAAGGGCGAGGGUUGCGCUCGUUGCGGGACUUAACCCAACAUCUCACGACACGAGCUGACGACAGCCAUGCAGCACCUGUGUGCAGGUCUCUUGCGAGAAGGAAUCCAUCUCUGGAAACCGUCCUGCCAUGUCAAGGGCUGGUAAGGUUCUUCGCGUUGCUUCGAAUUGAACCACAUGCUCCACCGCUUGUGCGGGCCCCCGUCAAUUCCUUUGAGUUUCGGUCUUGCGACCGUACUCCCCAGGCGGAGUGUUUCACGCGUUAGCUCCGGCACGGACAGAAUGGACUGCUCACACCAAAUAUGCAUCGUUUAGGGCGUGGACUAC